UCUCUCUCUCUCUCUCUCUCAGCUGGUGACCAACUUCUGUCAUGGGCGAUUGGCAUGCAACUGGGCAGAAUGGUGGGCUGGGGUUGAGCGGGUCCUUGCUUACGCAUGGAGGAAACCCUGUGGGGACCUAAUGAUGAUGGGGCCAAGCCAAACACACAAACAUGAUUCAUCGACUCUGAUAACUUUUCAUAUUUAAUUUCUUUAUUCUGUUGUACUGCUUUUCUUGAAGGACAAAAGAGAAUGUUUUUGUAAUGAUUAGCUCACGAUGAUCCAACCAUGAUUCAAUUUGUUUAAGAGUGCAUCUUGUAGGUGUUUGUGGUUAUGCCCGUGG
rnacentral:misc_RNA from 1 species